rnacentral:lncRNA from 1 species
CAAGAAUCCAUACCAUCUCAAUACUCAAACACAUACCAUUAAUAAGAACAGACUCAGUCACCAAGAAAUUCAAUCAUAACACAAACAAACCACCCUAGACUGAAUCUCAUAGCUCAGAAAAAACUGAAACGAAACAGAAUCACAUAGAAAUAAAGAGAGGAAACUGGAACCUGAAGUUAAAGCUUCAAUUAUCUGAAAUUUUCAGCAGUUACACAAGCGAUGUAAACAAGCCGCUAAUGCCAAAAUGGGACGCAGAUGGAACUUGAACAAAACAACUUCGAACAGCACCCAAACAAACCACAGAACAACACACAAUUUCAAACAAACUCCAUCACAAGUAACGUCAACCCAGAAAUGAGAUACAAAAAAGUCAAAAUUCAUUUUGUUUUUGUUUCUUGAUCUCUGAUUCUGGCAAAGGAUACAGAACUAGACUCGAAAAAACUCAAACCAUUUUUGGUUUAUUUUCUGUAUUUUUCUUAAAUGAAACUCGAGUAAGAAUCAAACCCAAACUAUUUUUUCGUAAUUCUGUUUCUUUUUUGAAAAUGCAGUACCAACCUGAAGAGAAAGAAAACAAAGAACCUCAGAAUUUUUGCCUUUCCAAAAACUCUCUCCAAAAAAAUCCUCCUCUUAAAAUUGGUUCCAGUCCUUAUAUGAAACGAAUCCCUGAUAAUGUGGGGCUUGGAUUGAACGAAAUCAGUCCAAUGCCUCACAUUCAUCCAAAGAAUUGUCUCUAGGACCUUCUAAUCGCUAGCCUUCUUUAAAAAACGAACGAGUGAAAGGAAGGAGAAUAUUCGGUGUCAAAAACCGUUAUCUGUGCUAAGAGGUUGGAUAGAGGAACACGUAGGUUAGGGAUUGAUGUUCAGUCACGUGAAUUUUGGGCUGAAAUGGGGCUUGGUGCAUGGAUUCUUCGAAGAAGAAGAAUAGUGCUCGUGUGUUAGGG